rnacentral:lncRNA from 1 species
AUGGCACUGCUCAUGCCAAGCACGGCUGGAGGUGAUGGCACACGCAUGGGCCAUGCACCAUGGGGCUUACCUCAGUGGCCAUGGGGACACCUACACCCUGCACACCCCAUCCCUACCUCCCAGCAGGACACACCCCGAGGACAGAGCCAUCCCCACACACGUACCUCCUCCAGCAGGCGCGGGUCCAGGCAAUCCCCAUCGUCAUUGAAAAGCGCAUCCCAGCUCUCCGCACCACCUGGGCUGCUCGGGGUCCCAGCACCAGGCUGGCUCGGCUUUAAGGCGCUGCCAUGGGGACGUCCCUCCUCAUCCUCCUCUUCCUCCUGGUGCUGCUGCUGCCAACCUUCAUCUUCAUCUGCUCGUGUCGGUUCCUCAGCCCACGAUCCAGGCGAGAGCUGUUCCAUGCCGUGGCACAGCAGCUCCAGGGGUUUCAGGGGCUGGGGGCUGCCCAGGGGAUCUCCAUCCCCGGGGCCACUUUCUGUCCCCCCAGCACAGCUCAACUCCUCACCAGCCCCCAGCUCACUGCUCCCAUCGGGCACAAGGACACCCUCCCCUCCAUCGUGUCCAGCACCAGCAUUGGCCUGCUCCUUGUUGGGCGGCAGCUGCUCCACAUGCUCUGGCAGGAGCUGGGAUGUGCUGCCCAUGUCCCAGUCCAGGAAUGCUGUCGUGUCCCCCGUCCCGGCUUCACAGGCAGCUUCUCCUGGGGCAGCCACGGUGCUACCUCGCUGCCUCUCUUCCUCAGGGUCAGUGGAGCAGCCCUCACUCUGCCCUGCAAGGACAGACUCAUCACGCUCCCUCUCCUCCUCGUGGCUUUUCACACUCUCCCAACUGAGCUGGGGUGUGCUGCCCACAUUCCCCUCUCCUGCCUGCUGCAAAGCACCUUGUUCUGUGCAUCCCAAGCACUCCGUAGCUGCACCCACGGAGCUGCGCCCCAGAAGCUCCGUCACGUUGCCCAGCUCUGUCCGAUGCACCAUGCUCAGUUCAGCUGCCAUUACACCAUCGGGAUCUCCACCAUGCUUAGGGGCAGCCACAGGAUGGGCACCCAGAGGGUCCGGCACCAUCCGCACCCCAUGGCUGCACUCCAUAGGCCCCGCAUCCCGGGAUGCUCCGCCCGAGGGCUGUGCAGCAGCUGGCUCCAGGCUCGGCUCCUGCACAUCGGGCGAUGCUCCCGCUGCCUGUCUGUCCCCAGAAGUGGCUGCCUGUGGCUCCUUGGCCCCGGCCUUGCUCUCCCUACCAGCCGCUCUGCCCACGUGUGUCCUGGCUCCAGGGCUUCGCCUCUGCCCCUCAGAGCCACCCUUGGGGAUGUCCGGUGCCGGCCGCUGCUUCUCGGGCUCCCGGUGGCUGGCGGCCACCGCUUGUGCUGCUCUCUCCCGCCGUGCUUUGGGGACAUAG